UUCGAGUCCUGGACCCAGUGACUUGACAUUCAUACCAGAAGUAACUCGGAAGAAAGCAGUGCCCUCCCAGAGGUCAGAUGGAAAUGUCAGCAAUGCUUGCCAGUAUCUCCAGAGAGUCACUGGUCUGGAGAUCAUGGUGCAGAAGGAGCAGACGAAACUAAAGGAAGGUAAACUCAAAAAGGCAAGAAGCUACAGAUAACAACUCAAAUGGCAGCCAGGAGCCAGAAGCCAGCUGAGGAGAAAAAGGAGUAUGUGUUUCCUGACUGUGAGUACUCGUCACUUCUCAUGAGUUGUGAUACUGCUUUGCGGUGAGGGAAGCUCCCCACCAGAUGGCACAUACUGGUGUUUGAGCAGGCGUGACUUCAUGCCGGAGAUGUGUGGAAGACACGUGUCAAGGAGGCAUUUUUAACAGAGAGAGAAAGACCUCUGUAGUGGCAGCGUUUACUUAUGACACACUGAACAAACUCAUACAGAACACCCCUUCUCCUUCCCCUCUACUUCCUUCCUGAGAGACCUGUUGUCUGGAGACAAGAGACAAUGGUUUGAACAAAGAGAAGACUUCAUGUUAAUAUUUCCUGGAGCUGAGCAGAGGCAGACAGAUCUUGUUCCAUUACAGAGAUAUAAGGAAAUGGGGUUGUUCCAAAAGCAAUAAAA